rnacentral:sRNA from 1 species
GACUAAGGCAAGAAGUGCAAAAGUUUAUGUGGUUAGGCUAUAUAGUCUGAUAAACUGUUAUCAAAAUGAAUU